rnacentral:rRNA from 1 species
UACGUAGGGUGCGAGCGUUAAUCGGAAUUACUGGGCGUAAAGUGUGCGCAGGCGGCCAAGCAAGUCGAGUGUGAAAGCCCCGGGCUUAACUUGGGAAUUGCGCUCGAAACUACUUUGCUGGAGUGUGGCAGAGGAAGGUGGAAUUCCACGUGUAGCGGUGAAAUGCGUAGAUAUCCGGAGGAACACCGGUGGCGAAGGCGGCUUCCUGGACCGACACUGACGCUGAGGCGCGAAAGCUAGGGGAGCAAACGGG